UGCGUAGGUGGGUUGGUAAGUCAGUGGUGAAAUCCCCGAGCUUAACUCGGGAACUGCCAUUGAUACUAUCAGUCUUGAAUACCGUGGAGGUCAGCGGAAUAUGUCAUGUAGCGGUGAAAUGCUUAGAUAUGACAUAGAACACCAAUUGCGAAGGCAGCUGGCUACACGAAUAUUGACACUGAGGCACGAAAGCGUGGGGAUCAAACAGGAUUAGAUACCCUGGUAGUCCACGCCCUAAACUAUGGAUACUCGACAUACGCGAUACACUGUGUGUGUCUGAGCGAAAGCAUUAAGUAUCCCACCUGGGAAGUACGAUCGCAAGAUUGAA
rnacentral:rRNA from 1 species